UCCAACUGCGGAGGCUGCCACCAAACUGCCGGCUGGGGAAGCGAGCGAGAGCUCGGAGUCAGCGAGGCAGGCAGCUGGGAAUCCAGGCGAGGGCGUGGGGGCCAGUUUUCACAUGCAGCGCUGUUUCUCGUCAGUGGAGUCUGCAGCCACCUCCUGAUCUGUCUGGUCGGCCAGGGAGGACACCAUUCCGUCACAGAUUGCACAAUCCACCCCACCGGGCACGCCGCCGGCCCUGCUCACCUGUCUAUCCAGCUUGAAGAUUGUUUUACUCUUCUUUUUUUUUUUUUGCAAUAAAAUUCCCUCACUAAUAA